rnacentral:sRNA from 1 species
AACUUCUGUUUUUAUUA